rnacentral:rRNA from 1 species
GAUGAACGCUGGCGGCGUGCCUAAUACAUGCAAGUCGAGCGAACGGACGAGAAGCUUGCUUCUCUGAUGUUAGCGGCGGACGGGUGAGUAACACGUGGAUAACCUACCUAUAAGACUGGGAUAACUUCGGGAAACCGGAGCUAAUACCGGAUGAUAUUUUGAACCGCAUGGUUCAAAAGUGAAAGACGGUCUUGCUGUCACUUAUAGAUGGAUCCGCGCUGCAUUAGCUAGUUGGUAAGGUAACGGCUUACCAAGGCAACGAUGCAUAGCCGACCUGAGAGGGUGAUCGGCCACACUGGAACUGAGACACGGUCCAGACUCCUACGGGAGGCAGCAGUAGGGAAUCUUCCGCAAUGGGCGAAAGCCUGACGGAGCAACGCCGCGUGAGUGAUGAAGGUCUUCGGAUCGUAAAACUCUGUUUUUAGGGAAGAACAUAUGUGUAAGUAACUGUGCACAUCUUGACGGUACCUAAUCAGAAAGCCACGGCUAACUACGUG